rnacentral:rRNA from 1 species
ACGCUAGCUACAGGCUUAACACAUGCAAGUCGAGGGGAAACGGCAUUUGGUGCUUGCACCGAAUGGACGUCGACCGGCGCACGGGUGAGUAACGCGUAUCCAACCUUCCCAUAACUAAGGAAUAACCUGCCGAAAGGCAGACUAAUACCUUAUGUAAUCCUUUGAUGGCAUCAGAUAAGGAUAAAAGAUUUAUCGGUUAUGGAUGGGGAUGCGUCUGAUUAGCUUGUUGGCGGGGUAACGGCCCACCAAGGCAACGAUCAGUAGGGGUUCUGAGAGGAAGGUCCCCCACAUUGGAACUGAGACACGGUCCAAACUCCUACGGGAGGCAGCAGUGAGGAAUAUUGGUCAAUGGACGGAAGUCUGAACCAGCCAAGUAGCGUGCAGGAUGACGGCCCUAUGGGUUGUAAACUGCUUUUGUAUGGGGAUAAAGUCAAUCACGUGUGAUUGUUUGCAGGUACCAUACGAAUAAGGACCGGCUAAUUCCGUGCCAGCAGCCGCGGUAAUACGGAAGGUUCGGGCGUUAUCCGGAUUUAUUGGGUUUAAAGGGAGCGUAGGCCGGAGAUUAAGUGUGUUGUGAAAUGUAGACACUCAACGUCUGACUUGCAGCGCAUACUGGUUUCCUUGAGUACGCACAACGUUGGCGGAAUUCGUCGUGUAGCGGUGAAAUGCUUAGAUAUGACGAAGAACUCCGAUUGCGAAGGCAGCUAACGGGAGCGCAACUGACGCUGAAGCUCGAAGGUGCGGGUAUCGAACAGGAUUAGAUACCCUGGUAGUCCGCACAGUAAACGAUGGAUGCCCGCUGUUGGUACCUGGUAUCAGCGGCUAAGCGAAAGCAUUAAGCAUCCCACCUGGGGGAGUACGCCGGCAACGGUGAAACUCAAAGGAAUUGACGGGGGCCCGCA